rnacentral:rRNA from 1 species
CUAUACAUGACUCUGCGCAUAUCAAUAAGCGGAGGAAAAGUAACUAACAAGGAUUCCCUUAGUAACGGCGAGUGAAGCGGGAAGAGCUCAAAUCUGAAAUCUUCAAGGUUCUACCUUGACGAAUUGUAGUUUAUAGGAGUGUUUUCUGUUAGUGGAGUGGCAAAAGUUCUUUGGAAUAGGACAUCAUAGAGGGUGAGAAUCCCGUAUUUGGUCAUUCCUCCUAGCGUUGUGAUACACUUUCAACGAGUCGGAUUGUUUGGGAAUGCAGUCCAAAAUGGGUGGUAAAUUUCAUCUAAAGCUAAAUAUUGGCGAGAGACCGAUAGCGAACAAGUACCGUGAGGGAAAGAUGAAAAGAACUUUGAAAAGAGAGUUAAACAGUACGUGAAAUUGUCAAAAGGGAAGCGUUUGACACCAGUGUUGUUUUUCCGAAAAUCAAUUACGAAAGUUUUGUUUUUGAGGAGUUAUGACUUCAUCGGCUUGCUCCUUUCUUUAUGAAACUUUCUUAAUGCACUUUUCGGUUAACAAGUCAACAUCAAUUUCUUUUGUUGUAAAAGGGUAUGAGGAAGGUGGCUUUCUUUUCGGAGAAAGUGUUUAUAGCCUUGUGCCUCUGCAAUCGGAGAGAUUGAGGUCUGCAGCGUAGAUCCUUCGGGGUUAGAUACAUUUGUGCUAAGUUAUAGCUUUUCAUAGACAACUUGUUGACUAUGUUAGUCUUGUAGCUUACUCGCUUAUGCUAUUUUACCUACGCUUAGGAUGUUGACACACGCGCGUGCUCG